rnacentral:rRNA from 1 species
GACGAACGCUGGCGGCGUGCUUAACACAUGCAAGUCGAACGGUAAGGCCCUUUCGGGGGUACACGAGUGGCGAACGGGUGAGUAACACGUGGGUGAUCUGCCCUGCACUUUGGGAUAAGCCUGGGAAACUGGGUCUAAUACCGGAUAGGACUACGCGAUGCAUGUCGUGUGGUGGAAAGCUUUUGCGGUGUGGGAUGGGCCCGCGGCCUAUCAGCUUGUUGGUGGGGUGAUGGCCUACCAAGGCGACGACGGGUAGCCGGCCUGAGAGGGUGUCCGGCCACACUGGGACUGAGAUACGGCCCAGACUCCGACGGGAGGCAGCAGUGGGGAAUAUUGCACAAUGGGCGCAAGCCUGAUGCAGCGACGCCGCGUGGGGGAUGACGGCCUUCGGGUUGUAAACCCCUUUCAGCACAGACGAAGCGUAAGUGACGGUAUGUGCAGAAGAAGCACCGGCCAACUACGUG